AAGAGAGCGGAGCCGGCCGCGGAGCACCCACACUGGCGGCUGCCGGAGCGCGGGGCUCCAUGGUUGAUAUAGAGACUGUCAAACGGACCAGACAGAGAACUAAAACCGAAGAAAGGAUCUCAAUGAAGGCAUGCCACAGGGAUGCGAACUGGAAGUUUCAGAAACGGGACAAGAGCCAAGGGCACGGGGACAGGCACCUUUCCAGACCUCUCCGUCCUUGGGUUCCUCCAGCACUUCCCACCCGGACCACAGCCAGAACCAGCUUUGGAGCGCAGGUUGGGUUAGCGUCGGCUGCUGCGAGUGAACCCGGAAGGGCUCCGUCGCGUGUGCUCACAGCACCGACCGUGAGUGUGGCCUCCCAGGCCUGGCCCAGCCCCUGCUUUAGGCCCAGAAAGAACUGAAAUUCAGGAGACACCGACUCUUGGACUCUUUCUUGGAUAUAACCGAGAGGUCCCCGGAUCUAAGAGCCUUGGAAAAGCACAAGAUCUACCUGAGCCUUCGUUUCUUCACCUGUAAAAUGGAGGGGACAACCCCUACCUUAUGGGGCUUUCAUGAAGAGCUUGCUCUUCUGUCUCUGAAAAGGCAGGAUUGGACCAGAAGGCGUGCCAGGGCGAGGUGCCCAUCAUUCCAUUCCAUGACGGGAUAGGAAUUGAGACACUUCGCUGAGGAAGAAAUACCUGAUUUCUGAAAACAGCCUAUAUCCUGAACAGUUUCCUGGAAAUGACACCGCUGGUUAACUUUUAUAAAGCAUUCCAAGUGUUGAUCAGCAAGUUUUGAUGCUUCCAAGUGCCCAAAGAGGAAAUCCGGCAGCAGAAGUUCCUGGGGGGAUCCCAUCUGAUGCUGGAGAUAACCGGCUCCCCCAGUCAGGGACUUGAUGCUCUUGACCCCAGCACCCAGACCAGCCUCUGUGAAGAGACAGAGCCUGUGAUGCGACCUGUCCUCACAUACAGACAAUCGUGGUGCCUAUUGGACAUAGCGAGGCUAUAUUUUCCAGACUUGCUCUGUUUGCUGAAAACCCGAAGAAGCCAGGAAAUUGCUUCCUAUGCCUGAGUGCCUGAAGUGAUGAUGCGGCGUGCUGCUGAUCAAACAGGGGUCACAUGUCCCCGGGACACGGUGGCCAGAGAGGACACUCAGCGCACGAGCAAGCCUGGAAAACAGAGCCAAGACACAAACUGCGAAGCAACAGCUCAACCUCCCAGAGCGAGUGGGCUUCGCGCUAUUUCUGGACCCAAAGGAUGCCGAUUCCUCAUUCCCAAGCAGCUCGUGAACUGGGAGCCGUGUGGGAAGGCGACUGGUUUGGGAAUCCGACGGGUUCUGCCCUGGAUUGCUCCCAGAUUGCGCUACCAAUCGGCCAUCUGGUCUCGGCCACGUGGGGUGAGCGAGCAUCCACGCAGCGCUCAGAACCUGCCGCGCACUGAGGGGACACGGAGGAGUCUGACAUGUUGACCUUGCCCUUGGGUAGCCUGCCUUCUAGCAGGGAAGGCAAACCGCAGUGGUCUCCAGUGAUGCACGGUGCUGUGGGGACCAGCGGGGCAGCAUGUCACCCGGUCUGGGCUGCAGGAAUGCUGCCUGGAGGAGCAGAUGCGCCUGAGCGGAGUCUCAGCAGUGGAGCAGAGGUCAUCCAGGUCAUGCCAGGUGAAAGAGGACUGGCAAAAGGAGACGGUGCAAACUCGAGUGGAUGGAGAAGCUGGAGAGUGAGAAGACAUCUUCAAGGGGGAAACAAAGCUUUUCCUGACUUCCGUGGAUUUCUACAGAGCCUUGGCUUUUGGAAAUUCUACCAGAAUGAUGGCUACAUUUUUAGUGGUGAAAAUUACUGAUAAGUCUCAAAAGCAAUCAGAGAAUAUCCAUUUUCCAGAGGUAAUGUAUGACUUCCACCAAAGCCACACCAGUAUUUCUAAUAUCUUAAUGAGGUAUUUUGUUUUUGUUUUUUUUUUCCGUAAGAACAGAACUAAGAUUCCUAUCAUAUCCUGGAGUCUCAAAAGAAAAAAAAAAAAAAGGAAAGAAGAAAGAAUUCAACUAGAUACCCAUUUGUUAGCCCAACAUUGGAAGGGAUCAGCCUUUGAUUGGUUGACCGUUGGGGAACUGUGCCUCGCUGUGAACUGCACACUUCAGCUGUGUCCCUGGCUCCGGUCACCCACAGAGAGAGUAAUUAUCCAAAUAAGGAAAUGCCUGAAAACAAAGAAUAAUUAGAAGCAGCCUUUCAGAAGCAUGCUCGUGUGUGAAACUGGUGGGUCACAUUCGUUUUAGAAGCACAUCAGCUGGGAUGUGGUCUGAGCCUGUGAUUAGAGCACUCGUUCCUUCAACCAGCAAACAUUUACUGAGAGCCGGCCCAGUGCUGGACACUGUCCUAGGUGCUGGCGAGGUACUCCUAAGCAAAGAGAAAUAUGAGCCCUGAUGGUAAAUUUAAGAACUGGUUUUCCCCCCAAACAGAAGCUCUGAUUUUUCAUUUUUGCCAGUGUAAAUAUGAAAAUUCAGAGUGUCAAUACUCCCACCAUAGCCGGUUUCAAGCUACCCGUGUUCCUCAUUGCCUGGCACAUAGAAACCGGCAGCCAUCAUUAGAGUCCUACCUUGAUCCUAAUUAGCGUCACUGGGCUUGCUGUAACAACAUAAAAAGAAACUCAUGACCUACAGGGGAAGUCUAAGACGUACUCAGGGGUGUGUGUGGAGAAGGGUCUGAAAAUGCCCACUGGGUUUGGUACAAUCACCUCAGAAAGAGAUAGGACAUUCCUCUUUCCUUUUUACUGAAAAUCUGUAAAAUGCAGUUUUCAUUAGUAUGCAUUUUAUAAGUUUUAAAGAAAAUGUAUAGUGUCCAAGUGGAACAAGCAUCGCUUUCCCAUGAUCUGGGCCCAAGAGGGACCAAAUGGCGAGGGGAUGCGAGCCACUUGUUAGGAGACAGUCCUGUAUCCACGAUUUGUGAAUCAAUGACUGUUCAGUUGUUUUCCUGGUGAGAAGCGACUUCAACUAUUGGCGGAAGAUAAGUAUCCCCAUUGCUGUAGGAAGAAACCACCCCCACACUAGCUUAAGCCGGUGAUUGUGUUUAUUUCGCUCACAGGUUUGCAGUGUGGGUGGAGCAUGGGGGGCGAACAUUGUGUCCCUUCUACUGAAGGGAGACUGAAGAGGUAGAAGACAGUGGAUGCUGGGUGUGGGCAGGGGCUGCCGUGGGGCUGUGGCUGCAGUACCUCCCUGUGGCCCCUCCGGGUGGCGGCGUCCCAGAAGAGAGCCAGGUCCAAGCUCUAUCAACUUUUAUGCCCUAACCUUAGAAGUCCCACAACAUCUUCUCUCCGCA